rnacentral:rRNA from 1 species
UACGUAGGGAGCAAGCGUUGUCCGGAAUCAUUGGGCGUAAAGCGCGCGUAGGUGGCCUCAUAAGUCCGCUGUGAAAGUCAAAGGCUCAACCUCGAGACGUCGGUGGAAACCGUAUGGCUAGAGUCCGGAAGAGGAGAGUGGAAUUCCUGGUGUAGCGGUGAAAUGCGCAGAUAUCAGGAAGAACACCCGUGGCGAAGGCGGCUCUCUGGGACGGUACUGACGCUGAGACGCGAAAGCGUGGGGAGCGAACAGG